CUGGCGGCGUGCCUAACACAUGCAAGUCGAACGAGAAAGUGGAGCAAUCCAUGAGUAAAGUGGCGACCGGGUGAGUAACACGUGACUAACCUACCUCCGAGUGGGGAAUAACUCCGGGAAACCGGGGCUAAUACCGCAUAACAUCGCAAGAUCAAAGCAGCAAUGCGCUUGGAGAGGGGGUCGCGGCUGAUUAGCUCGUUGGCGGGGUAACGGCCCACCAAGGCGAAGAUCGGUAUCCGGCCUGAGAGGGCGCACGGACACACUGGAACUGAAACACGGUCCAGACUCCUACGGGAGGCAGCAGUGGGGAAUUUUGCGCAAUGGGGGAAACCCUGACGCAGCAACGCCGCGUGGAGGAUGAAGCCCUUUGGGGCGUAAACUCCUUUCGACUCGGACGAUAAUGACGGUACGAGUGGAAGAAGCACCGGCUAACUCUGUGCCAGCAGCCGCGGUAAUACAGAGGGUGCGAGCGUUGUUCGGAAUUAUUGGGCGUAAAGG
rnacentral:rRNA from 1 species